rnacentral:rRNA from 1 species
GACGAACGCUGGCGGCGUGCUUAACACAUGCAAGUCGAGCGGUAAGGCCCUUUCGGGGUACGACGAGCGGCGAACGGGUAGGAGUAACAACGUGGGUGACCUCGCCCUCCAGCGUCUGGGAGUAAGACCUGGGAAACCGGGGUACGUAAUACCGGAUAUGACUCCAUGACGCAUGUUGUGGGGUGGGAAAGCCUUGUGCGGCUGAGGAUGGGCCCGCGGCCUAUCAGCUUGUUGGUGGGGUGAUGGCCUACCAAGGCGACGACGGGUAGCCGG